GAUGAAGAACGUAGCAAAAUGCGAUACUUGGUGUGAAUUGCAGAAUCCCGUGAACCAUCGAGUCUUUGAACGCAAGUUGCGCCCGAAGCCACUAGGCCGAGGGCACGCCUGCCUGGGCGUCACACGCCGUUGCCCCCCCAUCUACUCCUUCGGGAUUGCGGGGGGGCGGAUGAUGGCCUCCCGUGCGCCUAGCCGCGCGGUUGGCAUAAAUACCAAGUCCUCGGCGACGCACGCCACGACAAUCGGUGGUUGCGAAACCUCGGUUGCCCGUCGUGUGCGUUCGUCGCGCAUCGAGGGCUCGAAAAAAUGCUCGGCUCCGGCUGGGCUUUCAACGCGACCCCAGGUCAGGCGGGGUUACCCGCUGAAUUUAAGCAUAUCAAUAAGCGGAGGA
rnacentral:misc_RNA from 1 species